GAUGAACGCUGGCGGCGUGCCUAAUACAUGCAAGUCGAGCGAACAGACGAGGAGCUUGCUCCUCUGACGUUAGCGGCGGACGGGUGAGUAACACGUGGAUAACCUACCUAUAAGACUGGGAUAACUUCGGGAAACCGGAGCUAAUACCGGAUAAUAUAUUGAACCGCAUGGUUCAUUAGUGAAAGACGGUUUUGCUGUCACUUAUAGAUGGAUCCGCGCCGCAUUAGCUAGUUGGUAAGGUAACGGCUUACCAAGGCAACGAUGCGUAGCCGACCUGAGAGGGUGAUCGGCCACGCGGGAACUGAGACACGGUCCAGAGGCCUACGGGAGGCAGAAGUAGGGAAUCUUCCGAAAUGGGCGAAAGCCUGACGGAGCAACGCCGCGUGAGGGAUGAAGGUCUUCGGAUCGGAAAACGCUGUUAUGAGGGAAGAACAAAUGUGUAAGUAACUAUGCACGUCUUGACGGUACCUAAUCAGAAAGCCACGGCUAACUACGUG
rnacentral:rRNA from 1 species